rnacentral:rRNA from 1 species
AUUGAACGCUGGCGGUAUGCUUAAGACAUGCAAGUCGAACGGUAACAGGUUAAGCUGACGAGUGGCGGACGAGUGAGUAACGCGUGGGAAUCUACCUUGUAGUGGGGGAUAAGCCAGGGAAACUUGGACUAAUACCGCAUACGCCCUAAGGGGGAAAGGCGCAAGUCGCUAUAAGAUGAGCCCGCGUCUGAUUAGGUAGUUGGUGGGGUAAAGGCCUACCAAGCCGACGAUCAGUAGCUGGUCUGAGAGGAUGAUCAGCCACGUCGGGACUGAGACACGGCCCGGACUCCUACGGGAGGCAGCAGUCGGGAAUAUUGGACAAUGGGGGAAACCCUGAUCCAGCAAUACCGCGUGUGUGAAGAAGGCCUGCGGGUUGUAAAGCACUUUCAGUUGGGAAGAUAAUGACGUUACCAACAGAAGAAGCACCGGCUAACUCCCGUGCCAGCAGCCGCGUAAUGAUGAGACGU